GCCACCUUUGAUCCUCUACCCCACGCCACAGGGGACGAGGUACCAAAUUUUCCAUCACUUUCUCGCAUUUUCUCUUUCUGGGCUCUGAAAACUUUGAACCAGCAGUUUUUUUUUUUUUUCUCUUUUUCAAUAGACGAAUUAAAAGCGUCGGCUUUCGUUCGCGGGCACUUUCGGCAUGUGUCGUGCUGUAUAGUUGUAGCCGACUUUUUGGCCUUUGUCGGCGUUUUGAUUAGCUCAUAUUCUAAUCUGAAAACAACGUGCAGAUCUGUCAGAAGAAAAUUUCAAAGUCUGUUUUGUUAGGUUGGGGCUAUAUAUUCUGUUGUCUUCUCCGGCUUUAAUCUUCUUCUAAAUGGGUUUUGGGUUUUGUCAUGAGUUCCAAGGUGGGUGGCUUUGAUUUGCCGAUCUGCACUGAAACUUUUGUGCUCUGCUUUCCUGGAUUUCUCAUGCGAAAAGUGCUAAACUACGCUUGGAUAUUUGAUUUUGUUCUUUGAAGAUUGGAGGCGUUGAUCCAUUGUAGGCGUUGAUCUGUUGCUGUGAAUUCAUUCACUUUUGCUGGGUAUGGCUGUGGCCGGGAUUUCUUCUACCCAGUCACAAACAUAUUCACAAGGUUUUACCGUGGCUUUGGCAUCAGCUGUACUUGAAUGGUUGUUGAUUUUUUUGCUGUUCAUUGAUGCCAUUUUCUCAUACUUAGUGACAAGGUUUGCUCGCCACUGUGGACUGCAAACACCGUGUUUGAUAUGCUCAAGACUUGAUCAUGUUUUGGGCAAUGAAAAAUUGGGAUUUUAUUUGGAUUUGAUCUGCAGGAAUCAUAAAUUGGAGAUAUCAUCCUUAGUUUUUUGUCAUGCUCACAAUAAGAUUGUUGAUGUUCAUGGGAUGUGUGAAAAUUGCCUCUUCUCGUUUGCUACCAUAAAUAAGUCCAAUGCCGAAACGUACAGAUUGCUGGUUGGUAAAUUGGGGGCAGAACCUCACAUUGAUUUUGAUGAAGAUCCUUCAUGUGAAUCUCAUAACCUUGGCUCAUUGAUAAAAAGGCAUUGUUGUUGUUGCAACAACCUUUUCAUUUCUGGUGGUUAUGCCCAAAAAUUGCUUCAGACUGAGUUAGUUGGACCUAAGGCUGCUGAAUUUGAUCUGCCUUUAUCCAGUGCUAUUGUACAUGAUUGUGCUGACUUAAAGAAGAGAGAAAACAAAUCAUCUGGACCAGUUCACACUUCUCAGUUAAGAAAUAGUGGAUUUGAUCCUUUGUCUCAUAUAGGCUAUUCAGAGCUGAAGAUCACUUCAGAUACUGAAUCAGAUGUCCUGCUGUCUGAUGAUGAUGAUACGGGUGCUUUAGUUCGUGAAACUGAUGGUCCUAAGGAAGAUUUUCAAAUUAAAUGUGUACAGAUGGAACCUCAUAUUGUUACUUCGACUGAGAAUUUUAUAUCAGAGAAACUGAUACAUCCACCUUCCAAGCCUGAGGAUUUGGUUUCAUUUUCAAAGGUGCAGUUAGUUAAUGUGGAGCCAAAUGAUGGGACAGUUGUCGCAGGUACUGAUGCCGUUGGUCAUGGCUUGGAGGAACUUUCUUGGCAACAGGCUGAGCCUAAAAUUGAUUCUUCUGGGUUUGCUCAGCUUAUUUCCCAUGAAGCUGCCCCUCAGUCGUCCAAUGCAACAGAAACUGCCCCUGAAGUAUUGGGAGCAAGUGACAGCAGUGAACUUGAGAAGCCAUCCGUAACUGAGACGGGAGACAUCUGUAAGACAGGAAGUGGAUCAAUAACAACAAGUGAAGCAGCUGUUGAAACUAGUCUGCAAGUGCCCAACAACUUGGAAGUGGUUUCAUUUUCAAAGGUGCAGUUAGUUAAUGUGGAGCCAAAUGAUGGGACAGUUGUGGCAUGUACUGAUGCCGUUGGUCAUGGCUUGGAGGAACUUUCUUGGCAACAGGCUGAGACUAAAAUUGAUUCUUCUGGGUUUGCUCAGCUUAUUUCCCAUGAAGCUGCCCCUCAGUCAUCCAAUGCAACAGAAACUGCCCCUGAAGUAUUGGGAGCAAGUGGCAGCAGUGGACUUGAGAAGCCAUCCGUAACUGAGACAGGAGACAUCCGCAAGACAGGAAGUGGAUCAAUAACAACAAGUGAAGCAUCCGUUGAAACUAGUCUGCAAGUACCCAACAACUUGGAACUUGGUGAUGCUUAUAAGAUAGCUGUUGGCAAUAGGGGAAGACAGUUUUCUGGUUUGCUUGCAGAACAAUGGUCUGGGAAAGAUUCUGCAAAAGUUAAUGAAGAUUUGAAGCUCUUGCUGUCACAAAUCUCUGCUAAUAGAGGGAUUGACCUACCAUUGAAUGAUAUGAGUCCUAGAGUGUCUUUAAAUAUUGAUGAAUUGAAGUCAUCUGAUGCCUCUGGUACGGUUGGGUUGCAGAUUCUUCAGAAAAGGAAAUCACUGGAGAGAAAUGAAUCUGGUUUUGAAUCUCUGGAUGGUAGCGUUGUCAGUGAAAUCGAAGGGGAAAGUUUGGUUGAUAGGUUAAAACGACAGGUUGAGCAUGACAGGAAAUCCUUAAAUGCUUUAUAUAAGGACCUGGAGGAAGAAAGAAAUGCUUCUGCAGUUGCUGCAAAUCAAGCUAUGGCUAUGAUUACUAGACUGCAGGAGGAGAAAGCAGCACUCCAUAUGGAAGCUUUACAAUACUUAAGAAUGAUGGAAGAGCAAGCUGAGUAUGACAUGGAAGCACUGCAAAAAGCAAAUGAUCUCCUUUCAGAGAGAGAGAAAGAAAUGCAAGAUCUAGAAGAAGAGCUAGAGUUUUGCAGGAAGAAGCUCCCUAAUGAACCAAUUUUGGAGAGUAUAGUGAGGUCAGCUUCUGAUUUGAAGCCAGGAGGUACUAGAUUGGAACUGUCAGAUGCAAGUCAUGCUGAAAAUAAUGCAAGCUCACCCAGCAACUCAGUUGCUAUGGUACAUGUAUUAUGUGAUGAACUUGAAGGAUCGGAAGUGCUGGUUGGGGGUAAGAAUACGAGUAUUGUGAAGAAUCUGUUAUCAGAGCUUGAAGAUGAAAGAUCAUCUAUUUCAAAGUGUCUGAAGAAGUUGGAGAAGAAGCUUCUUGAGUUCUCAAAUAAUGGAUUACACUCUGACCUGGCAAAUGGUGAGUAUUCUGCAAAUGAAGGAGAUGAGUUAAAUAAUUUGAACACACUUGAGGUUAGAAAGGGGUCUGAGGAAAACAGUAGAUUGGUAGAAAGCAGUGGAAGUCCAAGUGAUCAAGAAGGACGUAUUCUGUCAUUUCAGGGCAACGAAUUUGUUAGCAAGGAAAAUAGUGAAUUUAAUAGUAGUGGGCAAGGUUGCCCCAUGAUAUGUAGAGAAACUGAUUUUGUUGCUCUUGGGAAUGAGGUUUCUGAUUUGAAGGACCGAUUGGAAGCACUUGAGGCAGACAGGAAUUUCCUUGAACACACUAUAAACUCAAUUAGAAAUGGAGAUGAGGGACUUAAGCUUGUUCAGGAGUUAGUUCAUCACCUGCGAGAAUUACGGAGGACUGAGAUAAGAAGAGAUCAGCCUAAUUAACAUGCUUGAGGCUUCAUACUGUACUGCAAAACAGUCCUUUAUCUAGUGGUAUGUUGUUUGGGAUGCUCCAUUAGACUUUCAGUGCAUGAUCACUUGAUUAAAUAAUCUAGUGCUGCCCUGACCAAGAAAAGAAGUCUGAGAUAUAGAUGGAACUUGAAAGUUGACUGUCAGAUGCAUAUGGAAAAAAAGACUCAUGAUCUGGAAAGUAAAACAUAUGCUGUUGAAUCAAUCAAUUUCUGGGUAUGACCGGAAGGAAUCAAUUGUACAGAAUCAGUGACUCCUCCCAAGGUACAGGAUACAUCGCAGAAGACACUGUUGUGUCUCUCCUUCUCUUCAAGCUUCGUUUGUUGUAACAUAUUUUGCAUUCUUCUUCGAUUUUACUCAGAUCGUUAUUUGCAGUUGGGUGAGGAUUUUUUUUUCUCUUUAUUUUUUUUAACAUAUAGUUUUGAGAUCGAGGUUUUCACUUCUAUUUUUUCUUUGCUUUUUCCUGGUUUGAUUUAGAGUCUUCAUCAUUUGAGGAUUUUUGUGUGUAAAGCCAAGUGCCAUAGUAUUAUUAUUAUGCUUCACUCAAAUUGAUUAACAAACUUCUUUGUACAUUCAAACAGGUAGUGAUAUUUAACUUGUAUACUUUGCUUU